rnacentral:rRNA from 1 species
UACAGAGGUCUCAAGCGUUGUUCGGAUUCAUUGGGCGUAAAGGGUGCGUAGGCGGUGGGGCAAGUCAGGUGUGAAAUCCCGGAGCUCAACUCCGGAACUGCACUUGAUACUGCCUUGCUAGAGUACUGGAGAGGAGACUGGAAUUUACGGUGUAGCAGUGAAAUGCGUAGAUAUCGUAAGGAAGACCAGUGGCGAAGGCGAGUCUCUGGACAGUUACUGACGCUGAGGCACGAAGGCCAGGGGAGCAAACGGG